ensembl:rRNA 5S_rRNA 5S ribosomal RNA
AGCCACAGCCAUAUCACCCUACAGCCCGAGACCGGUUACUCACUGAAGCCAAGUAGGGCUGAGCCUGGUCAGUACCUGGAUGGGAGACCAAAAGGGAAAACUAGGUGGGAAGUGGUGU